GACGUAGGGCGCGAGCGUUGUCCGGAUUCAUUGGGCGUAAAGCGCUCGUAGGCGGCUUGUCGCGUCGUCCGUGAAAACUUGGGGCUCAACCCCAAGCUUGCGGUCGAUACGGGCAGGCUAGAGUUCGGUAGGGGAGACUGGAAUUCCUGGUGUAGCGGUGAAAUGCGCAGAUAUCAGGAGGAACACCGGUGGCGAAGGCGGGUCUCUGGGCCGAUACUGACGCUGAGGAGCGAAAGCGUGGGGAGCGAACAGG
rnacentral:rRNA from 1 species